GGUUAAGUUAGAAAGGGCGCACGGUGGAUGCCUUGGCACUAGGAGCCGAAGAAGGACGGGACUAACACCGAUAUGCUUUGGGGAGCUGUACGUAAGCGUUGAUCCAGAGAUUUCCGAAUGGGGGAACCCACUAUCUUUAGUCGGAUAGUAUCCUUACGUGAAUACAUAGCGUGAGGAAGGCAGACCCAGGGAACUGAAACAUCUAAGUACCUGGAGGAAGAGAAAGAAAAAUCGAUUUCCUGAGUAGCGGCGAGCGAAACGGAAAGAGCCCAAACCAAGAAGCUUGCUUCUUGGGGUUGUAGGACACUCUAUACGGAGUUACAAAAGAAAGUUAUAAAUGAAGCGGUCUGGAAAGGCCCGCCAAAGACGGUAACAGCCCGGUAGUUGAAAUGGCUUUCCCUCCAGAGUGGAUCCUGAGUACGGCGGAACACGUGAAAUUCCGUCGGAAUCCGGGAGGACCAUCUCCCAAGGCUAAAUACUCCCUAGUGACCGAUAGUGAACCAGUACCGUGAGGGAAAGGUGAAAAGCACCCCGGAAGGGGAGUGAAACAGUUCCUGAAACCGUGUGCCUACAAGUAGUUAGAGCCCGUUAAUGGGUGAUAGCGUGCCUUUUGUAGAAUGAACCGGCGAGUUACGAUUUGUUGCAAGGUUAAGCGGAAAAAGCGGAGCCGUAGCGAAAGCGAGUCUGAAUAGGGCGCAUAAGUAACAGGUCGUAGACCCGAAACCAGGUGAUCUACCCAUGUCCAGGAUGAAGGUAAGGUAAUACUUACUGGAGGUCCGAACCCACGCACGUUGAAAAGUGCGGGGAUGAGGUGUGGGUAGCGGAGAAAUUCCAAUCGAACUUGGAGAUAGCUGGUUCUCUCCGAAAU
rnacentral:rRNA from 2 species